rnacentral:rRNA from 1 species
GAUGAACGCUGGCGGCGUGCCUAAUACAUGCAAGUCGAGCGAACAGACGAGGAGCUUGCUCCUCUGACGUUAGCGGCGGACGGGUGAGUAACACGUGGAUAACCUACCUAUAAGACUGGGAUAACUUCGGGAAACCGGAGCUAAUACCGGAGAAUAUAUUGAACCGCAUGGGUCAAUAGUGAAAGACGGUUUUGCUGUAACUUAUAGAUGGAUCCGCGCCGCAUUAGCUAGUUGGUAAGGUAACGGCUUACCAAGGCUACGAUGCGUAGCCGACCUGAGAGAGUGAUCGGCCACACUGGAACUGAGACACGGUCCAGACUCCUACGGGAGGCAGCAGUAGGGAAUCUUCCGCAAUGGGCGAAAGCCUGACGGAGCAACGCCGCGUGAGUGAUGAAGGUCUUCGGAUCGUAAAACUCUGUUAUUAGGGAAGAACAAAUGUGUAAGUAACUAUGCACGUCUUGACGGUACCUAAUCAGAAAGCCACGGCUAACUACGUG